rnacentral:rRNA from 1 species
AGCAGCCGCGGUAAUUCCAGCUCCAAUAGCGUAUAUUAAAGUUGUUGCAGUUAAAAAGCUCGUAGUUGAAUUUCGGAAUCAGUAUGUUGGUCGUGCUUCGGUACGUACUGUCAUUACUGGUUUCUACCUUCUGAAGAACCUUGAUGUCAUUAAUUUGGUGUCUUGGGGAAUCAGGACUGUUACUUUGAAAAAAUUAGAGUGUUUAAAGCAAGCAUACGCUUGAAUACAUUAGCAUGGAAUAAUGAAAUAGGACGUUUGAUUCUAUUUUGUUGGUUUCUAGGAUCGACGUAAUGAUUAAUAGGGAUAGUUGGGGGCAUUAGUAUUCAAUUGUCAGAGGUGAAAUUCUUGGAUUUAUUGAAGACUAACUACUGCGAAAGCAUUUGCCAAGGAUGUUUUCAUUAAUCAAGAACGAAAGUUAGGGGAUCGAAGACGAUCAGAUACCGUCGUAGUCUUAACCAUAAACUAUAGCCGACUAGGGAUCGGAUGAUGUUAUUUUUAAUGUACUNAUUCGGCGCCUUAA